rfam:Candida glabrata strain CBS138 chromosome A complete sequence.
AACCAUAGUCCCGCGUUGGGAAAAAUCUAAUAGGUAAGAGGAAUAGUAUGGCUAUCUCUUUUGAGAUCCCAUAUGAUGUCCUUGCUAUUGCUGCUUAACUUAUCUACCAAUUUCCCAACACUUUCAGCGCUCGAGAGGCAGAGUCUCAAGGAACCCAAGACGUAAUUGAUUUAGUUUCCUGUCUAUUUAUUUAGGUGGGAGGUCCUUUGGUUAUUUACUUCUCCUCUACGGGCUUCGUGCUCGUGGGGUUUUGAGUCGUUUUUGGCCAUCGGAUUUGAAUUGAUUAUUGUUUUCGAGGUUGUUGCCAUUACGUAUAUGGAUGAGACAGAAGUAGCCCCGCUGACGGGUCACCAAUUGUUAGAUCAAGUAGGACGCAUGAUCUUGAAUUCUCCUUUUGUGGAAAAUUGAGAGGUUUCAAAAUCUAGGAUUUAUCCCAUUUUUUGUUUUCACUCUUUUGGAAUCUUUAGGAUUGAGUUCGAUCGUCUUUGUUGUCGUUCUACAGCGGUAUAUUCCUGAACACUAUGUAGACCCUUGCUGGUCGAUGAUCAUUUGGGUAAAACCAUACUGCAUACAUUC